GGGCCCGCACAAGCAGUGGAGCAUGUGGUUUAAUUCGAUGCAACGCGAAGAACCUUACCAGGGCUUGACAUACUACAAAUCUUUUAGAGAUAGAAGAGUGCUUUCGAGAAUGUAGAUACAGGUGGUGCAUGGCUGUCGUCAGCUCGUGUCGUGAGAUGUUGGUUAAGUCCCGCAACGAGCGCAACCCUCGUUUUUAGUUGCCAAUUUAUUGGUUUUUUAGAAAGACUGCCGGUGACAAACCGGAGGAAGGUGAGGAUGACGUCAAGUCAGCAUGCCCCUUAUGUCCUGGGCUACACACGUGCUACAAUGAUGGGGACAAAGAGUUGCCAAUCCGCGAGGAUGAGCU
rnacentral:rRNA from 1 species